UUUAUUUCAGUCAAUCUUCUGUAGAGACUUAGCAUUCACCUUUGGAGGAAGGUCCUUUGAGCAGGGACAGAGAUGGUGAUGUCACUGACAGUCCCCCUUUUACUCUGGGUGAGAGGUCUAGAAUCCUCAGCUCCUGUAUUCGUGCCCACAAGGGCCUCAUCUAGGUGAAGGCUCCACCUGUCCCACCCUGCCAUGGCCACCAGGCUCCUCUGCUGUGUGGUUCUUUGUCUCCUGGGAGAAGAGCUUAUAGAUGCUGGAGUCACCCAGACACCAAGGCACAAGGUGACAGAGAUGGGACAAGAAGUAACUAUGAGAUGUCAGCCAAUUUUAGGCCACAAUACUGUUUUCUGGUACAGACAGACCAUGAUGCAAGGACUGGAGUUGCUGGCUUACUUCCGCAACCGGGCUCCUCUAGAUGAUUCAGGGAUGCCGAAGGAUCGAUUCUCAGCAGAGAUGCUUGAUGCAACUUUAGCCACUCUGAAGAUCCAGCCCUCAGAACCCAGGGACUCAGCUGUGUAUUUUUGUGCUAGUGGUUUGGUCACAGCGCUGCAGAAUCACCUGCUCCCUGUGCAGAAACCCUGGUGCUUCCUCUUCUCCUCCAGUACCCAGCAGCUCUCAGCAGCCUUUCUUGCUCCUCCCCUAGCACAGGAAGUACAUAGGUUUCGUGUUCCACAUGUCCCUAGGCAAGGCAAGAACAGGUCAUAAGGACACAUCAUGUUAGGAAACUUUUGGUAGGAAGUCAGUGGGUGUGAUGGUUCCUGGGAUUCCACACAUACUUCUCACAAG